AGAGUUUGAUCAUGGCUCAGAUUGAACGCUGGCGGAAUGCUUUACACAUGCAAGUCGAACGGGCUUAAAGGGCUUGCUCUUUAAGUUAGUGGCGAACGGGUGAGUAAUAUAUCGGAACGUAUCCAAUAAUGGGGGAUAACUAAUCGAAAGGUUGGCUAAUACCGCAUACGCCCUACGGGGGAAAGCUAGGGACCUUCGGGCCUGGCGUUAAUGGAGCGGCCGAUAUCUGAUUAGCUAGUUGGUGGGGUAAAGGCCCACCAAGGCGACGAUCAGUAGCUGGUCUGAGAGGACGACCAGCCACACUGGAACUGAGACACGGUCCAGACUCCUACGGGAGGCAGCAGUGGGGAAUUUUGGACAAUGGGCGAAAGCCUGAUCCAGCCAUUCCGCGUGAGUGAAGAAGGCCUUCGGGUUGUAAAGCUCUUUCGCAAGGGAAGAACACUUAGUCUCUAACAUAGACUGAGGUUGACGGUACCUUGAUAAGAAGCACCGGCUAACUACGUGCCAGCAGCCGCGGUAAUACGUAGGGUGCGAGCGUUAAUCGGAAUUACUGGGCGUAAAGCGUGCGCAGGCUGUUCUGUAAGUCAGAUGUGAAAUCCCCGAGCUCAACUUGGGAACUGCGUUUGAAACUACAGGACUAGAAUAUGUCAGAGGGGGGUAGAAUUCCACGUGUAGCAGUGAAAUGCGUAGAGAUGUGGAGGAAUACCAAUGGCGAAGGCAGCCCCCUGGGAUAAUAUUGACGCUCAUGCACGAAAGCGUGGGGAGCAAACAGGAUUAGAUACCCUGGUAGUCCACGCCCUAAACGAUGUCUACUAGUUGUUGGUGGAGUAAAAUCCAUGAGUAACGCAGCUAACGCGUGAAGUAGACCGCCUGGGGAGUACGGUCGCAAGAUUAAAACUCAAAGGAAUUGACGG
rnacentral:rRNA from 1 species